rnacentral:rRNA from 1 species
GACGAACGCUGGCGGCGUGCUUAACACAUGCAAGUCGAACGGUAAGGCUCCAGCUUGCUGGGGUACACGAGUGGCGAACGGGUGAGUAACACGUGGGUGACCUGCCCUGCACUUCGGGAUAAGCCUGGGAAACUGGGUCUAAUACCGGAUAGGACCGCACCGUGAGGGUGUGGUGGAAAGUUUUUUCGGUGUGGGAUGGGCCCGCGGCCUAUCAGCUUGUUGGUGGGGUAAUGGCCUACCAAGGCGGCGACGGGUAGCCGGCCUGAGAGGGUGGACGGCCACAUUGGGACUGAGACACGGACCAGACUCCUACGGGAGGCAGCAGUGGGGAAUAUUGCACAAUGGGCGGAAGCCUGAUGCAGCGACGCCGCGUGGGGGAUGACGGCCUUCGGGUUGUAAACUCCUUUCACCAUCGACGAAGGGUUUCUGACGGUAGAUGGAGAAGAAGCACCGGCUAACUACGUG